CGCGUAGGCGGCUUUAUAAGUCUGGAGUGAAAGUCCCUCUUUUCAAGGGAGGAAUUGCUUUGGAAACUAUAGAGCUUGAGUGCAGGAGAGGUUAUCGGAAUUCCCGGUGUAGCGGUGAAAUGCGUAGAUAUCGGGAGGAACAUCGGUGGCGAAGGCGGGUAACUGGACUGCAACUGACGCUGAGGCGCGAAAGUGUGGGGAGCAAACA
rnacentral:rRNA from 1 species